UGGUGCGUGUAGAAAGAGGAAGUUUAGUUGAGAAAGGAGUUAAAAAUAAAUGGCGCUGGGCAUGAAUAGAGGCCAAGAG